GGACCCGCACAAGUAGUGGAGCAUGUGGUUUAAUUCGACGCAACGCGAAGAACCUUACCAGGUCUUGACAUCCUGAUUUUGGUUGUUAGAAAUAACUUCCUUCAGUUCGGCUGGAUCAGUGACAGGUGCUGCAUGGCUGUCGUCAGCUCGUGUCGUGAGAUGUUGGGUUAAGUCCCGCAACGAGCGCAACCCUUAUCUUUAGUUGCCAUCAGGUCAAGCUGGGCACUCUAGAGAAACUGCCUGGGAUGACCAGGAGGAAGGCGAGGAUGACGUCAAGUCCUCAUGGCCCUUAUGGGCUGGGCUACACACGUGCUACAAUGGCGGUUACAAUGGGAAGCAAUAGGGUGACCUGGAGCUAAUCCCCAAAGGCCGUCUCAGUUCGGAUUGUUCUCUGCAACUCGAGAACAUGAAGUCGGAAUCGCUAGUAAUCGU
rnacentral:rRNA from 1 species